GAGCGGCGGACGGGUGAGUAAUGCUUGGGAACAUGCCUUGAGGUGGGGGACAACAGUUGGAAACGACUGCUAAUACCGCAUAAUGUCUACGGACCAAAGGGGGCUUCGGCUCUCGCCUUUAGAUUGGCCCAAGUGGGAUUAGCUAGUUGGUGAGGUAAUGGCUCACCAAGGCGACGAUCCCUAGCUGGUUUGAGAGGAUGAUCAGCCACACUGGGACUGAGACACGGCCCAGACUCCUACGGGAGGCAGCAGUGGGGAAUAUUGCACAAUGGGCGCAAGCCUGAUGCAGCCAUGCCGCGUGUGUGAAGAAGGCCUUCGGGUUGUAAAGCACUUUCAGUCAGGAGGAAAGGUUAGUAGUUAAUACCUGCUAGCUGUGACGUUACUGACAGAAGAAGCACCGGCUAACUCCGUGCCAGCAGCCGCGGUAAUACGGAGGGUGCGAGCGUUAAUCGGAAUUACUGGGCGUAAAGCGUACGCAGGCGGUUUGUUAAGCGAGAUGUGAAAGCCCCGGGCUCAACCUGGGAACUGCAUUUCGAACUGGCAAACUAGAGUGUGAUAGAGGGUGGUAGAAUUUCAGGUGUAGCGGUGAAAUGCGUAGAGAUCUGAAGGAAUACCGAUGGCGAAGGCAGCCACCUGGGUCAACACUGACGCUCAUGUACGAAAGCGUGGGGAGCAAACGGGAUUAGAUACCCCGGUAGUCCACGCCGUAAACGAUGUCUACUAGAAGCUCGGAGCCUCGGUUCUGUUUUUCAAAGCUAACGCAUUAAGUAGACCGCCUGGGGAGUACGGCCGCAAGGUUAAAACUCAAAUGAAUUGACGGGGGCCCGCACAAGCGGUGGAGCAUGUGGUUUAUUUCGAUGCAACGCGAAGAACCUUACCUACACUUGACAUACAGAGAACUUACCAGAGAUGGUUUGG
rnacentral:rRNA from 1 species